rnacentral:rRNA from 1 species
UACGUAGGCAGCGAGCGUUGUUCGGAGUUACUGGGCGUAAAGAGUGCGUAGGCGGUUUUCUAAGUUUGGUGUGAAAUCUCCCGGCUUAACUGGGAGGGUGCGCCGAAAACUGGAAGGCUUGAGUAUGGGAGAGGUAAGCGGAAUUCCUGGUGUAGCGGUGAAAUGCGUAGAUAUCAGGAGGAACACCUGCGGUGUAGACGGCUUACUGGACGGUAACUGACGCUGAGGCACGAAAGCGUGGGUAGCAAACAGG